ensembl:lncRNA
GGGGACUUCUGUCCUCUACAAGCAGAAACCAACCACUACUGUCCCUUGCUACUUCCUCUUCUUGCUGAUGCGUGGUUCACGCGUGGCAUCAUGCUCUGAUACCUCCCCAGAUACAGCUUUCUGCCUCUCCUGCUACCAGGGCACCGUACCUAUUCUGCAACUGUGGACCUGUAGGUGGAGAAGGAACUGCUGUCCAUGUGCCAGAAGUCAUGUUAGUUAUUUUCAUCUCAUAAUUUCUAAUCACUAUUGCAUUCAGCAUCACACCAGCUUGGACUCUGAGAUCUUUGUAGUGUUCUUGGAAGCCAGGAGGUUCAUGCUUAGUUUGCUGAAACAAGAAUGUGACUACAGCCCGUGGAAAUCCCGUCUAUACAGAGGCAUAGGGUUGACCAAAAUGACAACUGUUGUUUCUCAUCUGUGUCCUGUCCUGGCUUCUAGCCACUGCUCUUCCUAUCUAAAUUCAGGGGUCUUCAAGGUUCACUUCACUCUACCAGUAACUCAGGAUGCAGAGUACUUGUCUUUCCUUUCUAGCUUGUGGGCUCCUGAAGGGAGGCACUGAAGGAAGCCAACAAAUACAGGUUUCAUUUGCAGGGUAGAUGCAGCCUGUAUUUCAGAUUCUAACAUUUGAGCAAUCAUAUUUUAUCUGUAUCAAAACUGAGAAAAAAGUGAUGGAUAAUUUCCAGAAAAAAUAUUUAUUAUGCAGGAAAAAUGAAGCUCUGAAAGAUUAAUAGCUUGUGACACAUUCAGAUUAUUGUGGUGAUAUGACUCCAAAUAAACCAACAGCUCUCUGUUUUGAUAAGCUCAAACCAAACUGCUCAUGUAUGUCUAACAGUGGACCCAUCUCCAACUCCUCAUUUAUUAAACCUUCUUCUUGGGAUAAUGCCAGCAUUUACCUGUUCCCAUUUGCUGUCAGGAAGAGCCUGGGGAACCUCAUGGAUAACAUGCUGAGUCAGCAGUGCUCCCCGAUGGAGAAGAUGAAAGCAUACUGAAGACGCAUAAGCAAGAGUGUAACAAAGCAGGUGGAGAGAGGUGGCUUCCCCUCCUCUUCUUAACACUGCUGAAAUUGCAUCUACCAUGUUGUGCCUUGUUUUGUGAUUCUGCUAGGAAAAAAAAACAUUGGCAUCAGUAGAUAAUGACUGAAAUGGUUAGAGGGUUGCAGCACAUCACAUGCAAGGAGCUGCUCAGCAAACUACUUUCUGCAGUCUUCAGAAGAGAAGGGUAAGGGAAGGAUCUUGUUGCAUUUCCAUUUACUGAAAGGAAGGGUUUAGAAAAGAUGGAGCCAAGAUGCUUCUAGAGGUACAGCGUGACUGGAUGAGAGGCAAUGACAGAAGUUGCAAUGUGUGAAAUUCUAAUUAGUUGUUUGUAAAAAACAAACAAUGAAUGAAUGAGAUUGCUGAGAGACUUCACUGCAUUGUACACUUCAGGAAUACUGAAAGCUCAAUUGGCCAAGGCCCUGAAUAACUUUAUCUGAGUUGGCCCUGCUUUGAGAUGGAGUUUGGACCAAAUGGUGAUCAUAAGUCCCUUCCAACACACACAAUCCCAUGUUCCUGCAUGGUUACAUUGCCUGCAGAAUAAAACAAAAUCCUUCCUCACUUCACAUGAGGACAAACUAUUUAGAGACAGAUUGUUUUAAGUGGUAGGUAAAACUCGUCAGGAUAUGUAAAGCAGUGAAAUUGCACCGAAUGUUCCUGAGUUCUCUGUAGGUCAUGCACAAAUAUUCUAAGUAGAUAAAUAUUGUUGUGGAAAGGUAACAGUGUGAUAUGGCAUACAUUCCCAUUUAAAGAUUGUGUUUAAGCCCUAUGUGUACUUGCAGUUAUUUUUGGACAUUCAAGGUUUAAAUAUAUGGGCAUAGUUGUGUUUAAUCUGCUUUUGAAUAUAAUUUUUAAUGUAAGUUAUUGCAGUAAUUCUGGAUUGUGAUAGCUCAGAAAAUUCUUUCAGAUUUCAUAAUGCACAGAAACCUAAUCCUCAAUUUAGCCUCAAGCUCAGAAACAAUAACAUGCACAUUUUUAUUGUAAUUGUUCUUCCAUAAUUUAUAAUGAAUGUAAUUGAACUGAGACUCUCAUAAUAAUGUGAACAGAUGUCUUGACUUGUAAUAUGUUGUUCUAUAUUAGAUGCUUUUUUUAUAAUCAUUGAAAUGUGCCUGUAUUGUGUAUCUCCUUCCCUUGAACUAUGAAAUGCUUUAGAAGUGCAGAAGCAGUGUGAAUUCAUCAGCUCUAUUCAAGAUAAAACAGCCAAAACAACAAGCGUUAACAUUGUCCACUGGGUACUUUCCAUUGAUAACUUUUGUCUUGACAAAGAUCAAUUGUCUGUCCUAGAAGCUUUAGUGGAAAGAAUUAGAUCAAGUCAUUUAAAUUUUUUAGUAAGAAUUGAACAUUUACUGUUAAGUGAACUCAAUUUUAGGAGUAUCAAGGAGGGGAACACUUUAUUAUAGGUGAUGUUGGCUGAAAGAGACUGGAAAACAAAUACUAAUUGAACUUUCCGAGUGACAGGUCCACUGAGAUAUUCUGUGUCCAGUAGAAGGAGAUCUCUGAAUGGGGAUUGUCCCAAGAGUAACACUGCGUCUGUGCUCAGUAGUUGUCAGUAGCACUCUACAGACCAACUCACCCUUCAUGACUAUGGGACAUCGCAUCAUGCUGUUCCAGUGCAUUUGUCUAAUUCUUCUGCCUUGAAAUCCAUUAGGAGAGAAUGGAAUUACUGACACUUACUGAGCUGCUGCCAGAAGGAAAGUAGUAAAACUAUUAUUAGGAUUUUCACAGGGAAACCCUUGGGAGAUUGUUUUCAGCGAGAUAAGAAGUUCAAUUUAAUUACUGAAAUAAUUUGUCUGAAACAUGUUAUUAUCUGCAGCACAGCAGAACCGGGUAAAUACUUAUCUCUUGCUGUGGCAGCUCAGUGAAUCAGAACGGUCAAGCUCCCCUGCACUCCAUUGAUGAGCACAAUGUGUGUCCCCAAAGUUGUCACUGCAAAUCAGCAUUGAAGAGAAUGUGGCAACUGCCCCAUGUGGUCACGCCACCGGAAACACUGACAAGAAAAGAAAGAAAAGGGGCUGGCCCCAAGAGAACACACUGUAUGUUCAUGUGGAAUGCCUUUGGGAGAGCUCUGGACAGGCACAGCUCGUACCUUGAGUGACAGACUCUGCCUCACCUUGUUUCACUUUAACCUAACAUAGUAAGAGCGCUUCCAGAUGUGGAGUCCUCAGUACAGGAGAGACAUAGACCUGUUGGAGCGUGUCCAGAAGAGGGCCACAAAAGUGGCAUCAUAAGGAAGAAGCAUCUUUAGUAGUGCUGCCCUAGAACUGGCAGAAGUACUCAGCAGUACAUUAUGCCCAGAGUACAAGCUCGAAUAAUAUUAAUGCAUUGCAAACUGAAGACAAUACAUAACUUCUAGGAUAACUUAGCCCCUCUCCCCCUUCUCCCUUAUCAUUUUUAUCUUUUCCUUUUGCUUUCAUUUCCAAUUCUUCGUGCUAGUCUGUUAGUUGUACUUUUUUUUAAUUAUUAUUUUUUACCUCUACAGACUCUCUUUCCUUUUCACAUUUUCCCUUUUGGGAAGUUGGGGGAGGCUGGUACUUGGUGUUAGAAAUAAGGGAAAAGGCCAGUAAGGGCAGUGGCAGACAGCAGAUGCUUGAAGAAUAAUCUGAGAGCCAGGCACCAAGUUAAAAUUGCCUAUUCAAAGUUGUUUUGAAAGGAUGCUACCUAACAAAGUAGAGCAAAAAAAAUUAUGAGUUACUGUGCUUCUCACAACUGCCAUUCACACUUUCUAAGAUACCACUAAACAUUUUCCCCUGAGCUCCACUAGAAGUGGUGCUGAGCAGGUGAGCGUUUGUCUGAUGAAAUACUGAAAACAUACGAAAGAAAAUGAGGUUGUUUUAGGUAUUCUGCCUCUCAUCUGCUACAGUGUGAGCUGUGAUGUGCUCUCAUGAACGACUGUACCCUAUAAAUUGCUCUUAUCAAUUUUAUCACUAUAUUAAAUUUUUGGACUCAUAUCUUUAGAUGUAUUUUUAAGGAAUGCUGCCUUAUAAGCAUGGAACUCUCACAUCAGUAAGUCAGACUGCCUAAGCUUUCAUUUCUAAACUAGCGUAUAGCAACAUGAGCCUCUGGAAUGGGCUGUCAAGACUGCAACAAGCAUUCUGUACUAUGUAAGAUCUUUUGUAGGUUCUUUGGCCCUACUGGGAAGCCAUAAACAGUGCCUGUUUCACAGAGCCCAGAAAACAGAGCACUGUGAAGUUCAAAAUAUGAAGAAGAAAUACUGCCAACUCCAAUAGCUCUCCUGGGGUCAUAUAGUUUUGGGCUGGAGCUGAUACCAGCUUUGUGUGGACAAAUUCAGUCUUUUCACAAAACCUUUUACUGGCCAUUACUUUAUUCAUGGUAUAAAGACUAACCAAGCUAUUUUGUUUUAAGCCAUAUAUUUAAAUCUUCAUGAGACAGGGGAGGGCUUGGAAGGGGGAAAGUGGGGAGAACUAAUGGCUGAGUUAGGAGUCUUUCACAGCUGUACAGCAGCAGUGGUUUGCAGUGCAUGGCAAUACCACAAAUAUUAAGUGCUUAAGCAGUGGUGCUGAAUCAAAUGGUGAAUACAUUCUAAAGAAAUACAAAUGACAACUGUUUAUACGCUUUAUUUUCCAAAUACAUAAAAGUAAAUAAUUUGAAACAUGUAUUUGAUUUACAUCUUGUAUUCCUACCUUUUGUUUCUUACUGCCUGCUUUUGUGUUGUCAUUUCCCACAGUGCUCAUCUAAGACUCUGAAAGGUAAAAACUGUUUUAUUAUAUGUAUGAUGGCAAAGUUGUCCUUUGCAUGAAGAACUGGAGGGGGAAGCCUGUGUACAGUCUUCCCCUACCUAGGGACAAGUCGUAGUGUAUGGAUAUGGACUCUUCUCAAAGUGCAGAUAGAAAAACAAUCAAUCACAAACUACAGCAGAGGAAGUUUGAGUGGACACAGGAAGAAAGUCUUCACAGGGAGUCCAAAUAAGUCUGGUAUGAGAUUGUCCAGAGAGGAGGUACAGUCUUCAUCCUUAGAUGAACAACACAGUGUGUGACAACUGCUCAGAAAUUAAUGCCUCCUAUUUAAUGAUAUUGGCCCAUAACAACAGAGGCAGAUGUUGGUGGUAUGGCAGUAGAGGUUGAACCUUCCCAUCAGUAUUCCUUUACAUAUUGUUGCUGCGUGACAGACGGCCACAGAGGGGCAGUCUGACAGAAUGGUGUCUGACAUGAAAAUGCAGAUGAAGCGAAGGUGUGGGACUGAAUUAUUCCAUGCUGAAAUAAUGGCACCCACUGACAUUCACUGAUUCUUGCUAAACGUUUCUGGAGACCAAAGAGUGGAUGUGAGCACAGUGAGGUGGUGGGUGGUGUGUUUCACUGGUGGUGACAGCAGCAUUAAAGACAAGCCAUGUUCCAGAUGUCAUGCACAGCUGUCACACCACAAAAUGAAAUGUGUCUCGAUCAGCUCAUCCAUGUGAAUCAGCUAAUGGUGGUGACUAUAUUGAAAAAACAGUGUUUUGUAGCUGAGAAUUUGCUCUAUCAAGUAGUGUGCUUGUGCUCUUUGUGGUUGUUGUCGUUUCCAAGGGAAUGAAUAGGAGGCAUUACUUCUGGAGAAACCUAUAUAGCUUUGAAGUUAGCCCUGCUUGGAGGUUUCUUCCAAUACCAAGUUUUGCAAAACACUGUGCAGCACUCCUUAAUACAAGAACAAGAAGAGCAAGCUAAAUUGAUUUUGCAAAGGUAUCUUCCCCUCUCAGCAAUGCAAAGCCUGAAACAGAUCAGGGAAUAGUAUCAAACUGGAAAGCGUGCAGUGUGAUAUGUUUCCUCUGGCAGAUGAAGAGGUACUACGUUGUGCACCAGGAAAAAAAUAGGCCCUCUUAAAAUGAUUCUUACACAGCACAACACUCCAUGUGAUAUUUAGCUUAGCUAUUCUUGUUACCAGGUGGUAAGACUUGAAGGUGAAGAAGUUAAAAUAAUUUAACAACUGAAAAGAUAAAUGACAAAAUCAAAGAAUAACAGCCCUUACGUUUUAUUUAAAAGCCAUGGCUUUAUUCUACAAUAGGUUCAAGAAGAUUAACACCACAAAAAGAGAAACAAAAAUAAGGAUAACAAAGAUGUAAUUAAAAAAAAAUAAAUUGAAUUUUGACUGUAGUGUAGAAACCAUUUCUAAUAGUGAGAUACAGGAGAAGGAGAAUAAGAAUAAGAAUAAGAAUAAGAAUAAGAAUAAGAAUCCUACUGGUUAACAUAUUUAGUUGUACAUCUCACAGAAUAUGAGUAACUACAACACCAGAGAUGUCUCUUUAGUUAUUGUCAUUGGAAGGGGUAUAGAGUGAUUUAACUCCUUUCUUGCACUAGAUUCGAUUAGCCAAACUAUUUUUUAGUGCAAUCCUUCCAAGCAAUGUAUUGCUUCAUUCUCAGUAUCCCAUAUCCUUUUACAGAGGUUUGUGCAGACUCUUCUGCAUCUGCAAAAACGACAGAAUUACUUUUUAGGAAGAAAAAUGCCUGAGCUUAGUAACACUCAAAGAGUGAAAUAAAUGCUUUAUAAUAUAAUAUUAAUAAAAAAGAGAAAUAUAAUCUGAUAUUUCUGUGUUCAUCAAUGAAUGAUGAAAGCCCUAAAUAGGGGAAGGGUGACUGAUGAUAGAGUCAUGCAUCGUAUUCAGAGAAGUUACUAUAUACCUGUUAAAGUUGGACAACCAUGACCAUAAGCAUCUGUCAGAAAUAUUUAGGCAUGCUAUGAUUAAAAAAAAAACAAACAAACUGAUUUAUAUUUUCUUUAGCAAUGAUAUUAUCUGGUUUAUCCACUCCCAGUAUUUUUGGAACAUGUGGGUAACAGUCCAUAUAUUUUUAUCAUUUGCAGUGCUGGUGUAUUAGAUAAAGCUAUACUGCGCCUUUUUUUCCCCUCUCAUCAGCUUGGAAGUUAUCUCUUAUCUAAAACAGUCCAAAGUUUUUAACCUCCAACCAACUACCCUAAGCUUUACUGGGAGCUGGAUGUACAUUUCUCAGCAUCCAAACACAUGGACAGGUUAUACAUUUCUGACGGUAUCCCUCAUUACAUAAACAGAUGGAAAAUACUGCACGCUUUUAAGGGUUAUCGAUAAAUCUAAUCUAUACUAUAUAUAUUGCUAAUGUCAGAAUGCACGCUAUCUUGACUAGCUGUUAUCCUGUGGGAAUAAAGAAAAAUGUGUUUUUGCCAUGCACAGAUAAUUUGCUUCUUACUUAUUUCAAAUGUUUUGGUCUUCCUGGCUCCCCAAGAGUCCGUGCUUCCUUAACAGAGCUAUUGCAUUCAUUUGUCCAACUUCUGGUAAAGCAAAAAAAAUAACCACUGAACAAUUCCUUUUCUAACACAUAGACUAUAACACAAACAAGCAAGGACACCAUCAGUCUAGAAAUAUUUCCUGACAAGAAUGUUAAGUAAUGCAGUCUUAGUGUAUGAAUGAUGUUCCAAUGCAUGUGCACAUAUCUGAGUGUGAUAUGAAUCUCCACAGGUUUAUCUUAGGAAUCUGCUUUGGAGAGUUUCACAGAAUGGAAAUUCAAGCGCUCACACGGGUAGAAAUUCAUAUUAAGGCCAUAAUCUAAUUCAGCCAUUAGGAUAUUGCUUUAGCUGUAACAGCAUUAAUAUCCUCUACCACUAUUAAAUUAACACAAAAAGCAAGCUAAAUGAAAACAUAAUUAACAUCAACACAGUCGAGGCCCAGCCCCCAUUGCUGAAUUAUCAAGAUCAGCUGUACUCCAUUGAUUAUAACCAUUAAUCACAGUCUGGCAUGUUUUUAUUUGGUUUUCUCAGAAUGAUGUCCUUUUAAUCUCAUUAAUUUUUAUUCUGGGUAUGUUUCUGCUGGCUUGGUUAUAGAGUUCCUAACUUAAAUGUUAGAGCAAUUUUAUAUCCCUCAGUUGGGUUCAUGGUACAAUUUCUCACUGAUAUUCCCUAUGGAAAGCUGAACACAACACAGAGAUAAUAAAAUGGUGAUACGUAGUUUCUCUCCUGUUGUGUCAUUUUUUUUUCUAUAUCUUUUCUGUAUCCUUGUCACUUAUUGUUUCUGUUGGUUCUUUGUCUGCCUUCCAUCUUCUGAAGCAUUCAAAAAGGAGUGAAUACUAGUUUUGAUAUCUUCUAAAAGUUAAUACUCAUACCUGGUUUGGAGAGUCUUUGGAUGCUUUUUACACUUAGUCUGCUAGCAUUCAUUGUCUUCCUUAUUUUCCUUGUUUCUGAAAGAUCACAGGUGAUCCCUGAUUUUACCUUUUUUGCCUUUGCGCUGCUCUUCAGCCCUGCUACCUUCUUUCUGACCUUUCUGAAGUUUUUUCCAG